GUGCUUGCUUCAGCAGCACAUAUACUAAAACUGGAACGAUAAAAAAUUAGCAUAGUCCCUGUGCAAGGAUGACACGCAAAUUCGUGAAGCGUUCCAUAUUUAA